rnacentral:rRNA from 1 species
UACGGAGGAUCCGAGCGUUAUCCGGAUUUAUUGGGUUUAAAGGGUGCGUAGGCGGAUUUGUAAGUCAGUGGUGAAAUCUCCGAGCUUAACUCGGAAACUGCCAUUGAUACUGCAAGUCUUGAGUACAUAUGAUGUGGGCGGAAUGUGUAGUGUAGCGGUGAAAUGCUUAGAUAUUACACAGAACACCAAUUGCGAAGGCAGCUCACAAAACUGUAACUGACGCUGAGGCACGAAAGCGUGGGAAGUGAACAGGAUUAGAUACCCUGGUAAUCCACGCCUUAAACGAUGAUUACUCGAUGUGUGCGAUACACAGCACGCGUCCUAGCGAAAGCGUUAAGUAAUCCACCUGGGGAGUACGAUCGCAAGGUUG